rnacentral:rRNA from 1 species
GACGAACGCUGGCGGCGUGUCUAAUACAUGCAAGUAGGACGCUUUUCCGAACGGCUGAGUAACGCGUAGGUAACUGCCUAUUAGAGGGGGCUAACUAUUGGAAACGAUAUCUAUUACCGCCUACUAGUACAUCGACCUGCGUUGUAUUAGCUAGUAGGUUGGGUAAUGGCCUACUUAGGCGACGAUACAUAGCCGACCGGAGAGGGUGAUCGGCCACACUGGGACUGAGACAGGGGCCAGACUCCUACGGGAGGCAGGAGUAGGGAAUCUUCGGCAAGGGGGGGAACCCGGACCGGGAAACGCCGCGUGAGUGAAGAGGGUAUUAGGAUGGUAAAGAUGUGUUGUUAAGGAAGCGGUAAUUAACCAGAAGGGGACGGCUAACUACGUGCCAGCCGCCGCGGUAAUAC